rnacentral:rRNA from 1 species
UAGGGAAUUUUGCACAAUGGACGCAAGUCUGAUGCAGCAACACUGCGUGAAGGAUGAAGGUUUUCGGAUCGUAAACUUCUUUUAUCAGGGAAUAAUCUUGAAGGUACCUGAUGAAUAAGCACCGGCUAACUACGUGCCAGCAGCCGCGGUAAUACGUAGGGUGCAAACAUUAUCCGGAUUUAUUGGGCGUAAAGAGCUCGUAGGUGGUUUGGAAAGUCAGAUAUGAAAGCUCCCGGCUCAACUGGGAAAACGUAUCUGAAACUCCCUUACUAGAGGUAUGCAGGGGAAGAUGGAACACACGGUGUAGCAGUGAAAUGCGUAGAUAUCGUGUGGAACGCCGAUGGUGAAGACAGUCUUCUGGGCAUAUUCUGACACUGAGGAGCGAAAGCGUGGGGAGCAAACGGG